AUUGAACGCUGGCGGCAGGCCUAACACAUGCAAGUCGAACGAGAGGCGGACGGGUGAGUAAUGUCUGGGAACCUGCCUGAUGGAGGGGGAUAACUACUGGAAACGGUAGCUAAUACCGCAUACCAUCAGAUGUGCCCCGAUGGGAUUAGCGUGUUGGUGGGGGAACGGCUCCACAAGGCGACGAUCCCUAGCUGGUCUGAGAGGAUGACCAGCCACACUGGAACUGAGACACGGUCCAGACUCCUACGGGAGGCAGCAGUGGGGAAUAUUGGACAAUGGGCGCAAGCCUGAUGCAGCCAUGUCGCGUGUAUGAAGAAGGCCUUCGGGUUGUAAAGUACUUUAAGCGGGGAGGCGUUACCCGCAGAAGAAGCACCGGCUAACUCCGUGCCAGCAGCCGCGGUAAUAC
rnacentral:rRNA from 1 species